rnacentral:rRNA from 1 species
ACUCCUACGGGAGGCAGCAGUGGGGGAAUAUUGCACAAUGGGGGGAAACCCUGAUGCAGCCAUGCCGCGUGUGUGAAGAAGGCCUUCGGGUUGUAAAGCACUUUCAGUAGGGAGGAAGGUAGUGUAGUUAACACCUGCAUUAUUUGACGUUACCUACAGAAGAAGCACCGGCUAACUCCGUGCCAGCAGCCGCGGUAAUACGGAGGGUGCGAGCGUUAAUCGGAAUUACUGGGCGUAAAGCGCAUGCAGGCGGCCUGUUAAGUCAGAUGUGAAAGCCCGGGGCUUAACCUCGGAAUUGCAUUUGAAACUGGCAGGCUAGAGUCUUGUAGAGGGGGGUAGAAUUUCAGGUGUAGCGGUGAAAUGCGUAGAGAUCUGAAGGAAUACCAGUGGCGAAGGCGGCCCCCUGGACAAAGACUGACGCUCAGAUGCGAAAGCGUGGGGAGCAAACAGGAUUAGAUACCCUGGUAGGAUAGCG